rnacentral:rRNA from 1 species
UACAGAGGAGCCAAGCGUUGUCCGGAUUGACUGGGCGUAAAGCGCACGCAGGCGGUCGGGCGCGUGGGGUGUGAAAUCUGGCCGCUUAACGGCCAGGCGCCAUCCCAUACGGCUCGACUGGAGUGAUGCAGAGGUCGAUGGAAUUGCCGGUGUAGUGGUGAAGUGCGUAGAUAUCGGGAGGAACACCAGUGGCGAAGGCGGGCACCUGGGCUAACACUGACGCUGAUGCGCGAAAGCUAGGGGAGCAAACAGG